rnacentral:rRNA from 1 species
AUUGAACGCUGGCGGCAUGCCUUACACAUGCAAGUCGAACGGCAGCACGGGUGCUUGCACCUGGUGGCGAGUGGCGAACGGGUGAGUAAUACAUCGGAACGUACCUUAUCGUGGGGGAUAACGCAGCGAAAGUUGCGCUAAUACCGCAUACGCCCUGAGGGGGAAAGCGGGGGACCGUAAGGCCUCGCGCGAUUAGAGCGGCCGAUGUCUGAUUAGCUUGUUGGUGAGGUAAAAGCUCACCAAGGCGAUGAUCAGUAGCUGGUCUGAGAGGACGAUCAGCCACACUGGGACUGAGACACGGCCCAGACUCCUACGGGAGGCAGCAGUGGGGAAUAUUGCACAAUGGGCGCAAGCCUGAUGCAGCAACGCCGCGUGAGGGAUGACGGCCUUCGGGUUGUAAACCUCUUUUAGUAGGGAAGAAACAGCAGCUCUAACACAGUCUGCGAAUGACGGUACCUGAAGAAUAAGCACCGGCUAACUACGUGCCAGCAGCCGCCGUAA